UACAGAGGGUGCAAGCGUUGUUCGGAAUUAUUGGGCGUAAAGCGCGUGUAGGCGGCUUGGCAAGUCGGGUGUGAAAGCCCUCAGCUCAACUGAGGAAGUGCGCCCGAAACUGCUGAGCUUGAGUGCCGGAGAGGGUGGCGGAAUUCCCCAAGUAGAGGUGAAAUUCGUAGAUAUGGGGAGGAACACCGGUGGCGAAGGCGGCCACCUGGACGGUAACUGACGCUGAGAUGCGAAAGCGUGGGGAGCAAACAGG
rnacentral:rRNA from 1 species